GCGGCUGUGGCGGAAUUGGUAGACGCGCUAGCUUCAGGUGUUAGUGGGCGUAUGCCCGUGGGGGUUCGAGUCCCUCCAGCCGCACCA
rnacentral:tRNA from 1 species